rnacentral:rRNA from 1 species
CGAGUGAAGCGGCAACAGCUCAAAUUUGAAAUCUGGCCCCAGGCCCGAGUUGUAAUUUGCAGAGGAUGCUUUUGGCGCGGUGCCUUCCGAGUUCCCUGGAACGGGACGCCAUAGAGGGUGAGAGCCCCGUCUGGUUGGAUACCAAGCCUUUGUAAAGCUCCUUCGACGAGUCGAGUAGUUUGGGAAUGCUGCUCUAAAUGGGAGGUAUAUGUCUUCUAAAGCUAAAUACCGGCCAGAGACCGAUAGCGCACAAGUAGAGUGAUCGAAAGAUGAAAAGCACUUUGGAAAGAGAGUUAAACAGCACGUGAAAUUGUUAAAAGGGAAGCGUUUAUGACCAGACUUGGGCCGGUUAAUCAUCCAGCGUUCUCGCUGGUGCACUUUGCCGGUCCAGGCCAGCAUCAGUUCGCUGCGGGGGAUAAAGGCGUCGGGAAUGUGGCUCCUCCGGAGUGUUAUAGCCCUUCGCGCAAUACCCUGCGGUGGACUGAGGUUCGCGCAUCUGCAAGGAUGCUGGCGUAAUGGUCAUCAACGACCCGUCUUGAAACACGGACCAAGGAGUCGUCUUCGUAUGCGAGUGUUCGGGUGUAAAACCCCUACGCGUAAUGAAAGUGAACGCAGGUGAGAGCUUCGGCGCAU